GCCUUCGUGGUGUAAUGGUCAGCACACUGAGCCAGUAUUUCAGAGGUCCGUGGUUCGAUCCCCGGCGAAGGCA
rfam:Stegodyphus mimosarum contig42310, whole genome shotgun sequence.